UGGGGAAUAUUGGACAAUGGGCGAAAGCCUGAUCCAGCCAUGCCGCGUGUGUGAAGAAGGUCUUCGGAUUGUAAAGCACUUUAAGUUGGGAGGAAGGGCAUUAACCUAAUACGUUAGUGUUUUGACGUUACCGACAGAAUAAGCACCGGCUAACUCUGUGCCAGCAGCCGCGGUAAUACAGAGGGUGCAAGCGUUAAUCGGAAUUACUGGGCGUAAAGCGCGCGUAGGUGGUUUGUUAAGUUGGGUGUGAAAUCCCCGGGCUCAACCUGGGAACUGCAUUCAAAACUGACUGACUAGAGUAUGGUAGAGGGUGGUGGAAUUUCCUGUGUAGCGGUGAAAUGCGUAGAUAUAGGAAGGAACACCAGUGGCGAAGGCGACCACCUGGACUAAUACUGACACUGAGGUGCGAAAGCGUGGGGAGCAAACA
rnacentral:rRNA from 1 species